GAUGAACGCUAGCUACAGGCUUAACACAUGCAAGUCGAGGGGCAGCGGGAUUGAAGCUUGCUUCAAUUGCCGGCGACCGGCGCACGGGUGAGUAACGCGUAUCCAACCUUCCGUACACUCAGGGAUAGCCUUUUGAAAGAAAGAUUAAUACCUGAUGGUAUGACGAGAUUGCAUGAUAGCAUCAUUAAAGAUUUAUCGGUGUACGAGUGGGGAUGCGUUCCAUUAGGUAGUAGGCGGGGUAACGGCCCACCUAGCCAACGAUGGAUAGGGGUUCUGAGAGGAAGGUCCCCCACAUUGGAACUGAGACACGGUCCAAACCUCCUACGGGAGGCAGCAGUGAGGAAUAUUGGUCAAUGGACGAGAGUCUGAACCAGCCAAGUAGCGUGAAGGNU
rnacentral:rRNA from 1 species